UGGAAUGAUAGUUGCAGUUGCAGCACCUUUGUAAACCUCUUGGUAAAGAGCCAGUUUAGCUUUAGAAAUAUGGAAUCCUCUCCUGUUAUCAUGGCACAUAAAAGCAUAUGGUAGCAAUGGUAUGUCUAGUGAGAUUCCCCAGCAAGGAAGAGAGAGUGAUUAACAGAUAAAAAAAAUGGUUCCUAGCAGCAGAGCAAAGAGGCAGCAAGGAGGAGCUCAGACCACUGGGUAUGCUGGAUUUCCAGAAAAAUAACCUUGCACAAGCGUGGAAGCAAGAACUGAAUAAAGAUGAGAAAAUGAAGGACAAGGACAACAGGCAACUCAUGCCAGUGGUAGGGCAGGAGCUGCACCACAGAGAUAGCAGAGGAAGAUGCAGAAGGACCUUGGAAGAACUGCUUGUGUCUGAGAAUCUCACGACCUCAUGACGCAGAUUGGAACAGAACAGACCAGAUGGCAGGGUGAGAAGUGGACCUCAGGCAACAGGCUUUGGAGCAGAACUUAAAAAUGGAACAAGAACAUGGAAGAAAAGAGAAA